rnacentral:rRNA from 1 species
GAUGAACGCUGGCGGCGUGCUUAACACAUGCAAGUCGAACGGACUUUUAGGGACCAAAGCUUCGGCAGCGGACCUUAAAAGUUAGUGGCGGACGGGUGAGUAACGCGUGGGUAACCUACCUUACACUGGGGGAUAACAGAUGGAAACGACUGUUAAUACCGCAUAAGACCACGGUGCCGCAUGGUACUGAGGUAAAAGUUCCGGCGAUGUAAGAUGGACCCGCGUCUGAUUAGUUAGUUGGCGGGGUAACGGCCCACCAAGACCGCGAUCAGUAGCCGACCUGAGAGGGUAAUCGGCCACAUUGGGACUGAGACACGGCCCAAACUCC